AUAAAAAAUAAUUGUGAGGGGAAAAAGGUUAAAACUGAGAGAUAAAAGUUGCAACUAUCCUUUUUAUUAUUAUUCCAUAGUGGAAACUGGCUUUCCUAAUGUGGCACGCUGCUGUCGGGAAUUUAACCCAGCGCCAACGAUGGCAAGAAAUAGACUACGCCACCCCGGAAAUCGGCCGGGGACCUACCGGUAUACAAUGUACCACCAGCACACAGAUACGUGGUGGCUGAGACAGAUAUCAGACAACAGUAUAAAGAAUUCAACAAAUUUAUUCAAAUCACUAUUUAAUACAUACGAGAUUCAUAAACAAUAAAAAAAUAAGCGUUGAUCAUAAAAACAUGAAAUGCAAACACAUUUUUCCAACUUCCGAACUGGGGGAUUCAAGUUACUUAUCCAGUGAACACAGCAACCACUCGUGCCCUCACAACACAGCACCAACACCCACGUUGUGAACACUGCAAAUCCACAGCCGCACCACCACCACACACAGGACACUGGCUAGGACUGGUACCCCCCAAUUCUGAAGGGAAAAGAAACAAAACAGAAUAAGAAACAAAUACAUACAUUCACACACAUACACACAGUCACAUAUGCACAAAGUAUAGUUUGUCAGAAACACUUAUCACUUGCUGCCUGACGGAACCAAGGACACCAGGUUACUGGCAAUCCUCACUCACUGGUACUCACAAACUGUGGGCAGCAUAACAUCUUGUGAAGUGUCAACAGUAUGCAUAUACAAAAAUAAAAUACAACCGUCAAUGAAGCAGUUCAAUAAGAAAUCCUCUGACAAAGAAACAGUCAAACACAAUGGUCGUGUCAAACACUUAGUGAUUCGUCACUGUAAUUACCCCACCACAAGUUUUUAGUCAAUAAAUAUUCGAGGGCAAUGCGUCGCUUCAGACCGGGAACGCGAUCGUUCCGAUCGUCAAAUUAAUCCACGUACACUACAAGGAAGUCGGUCAAUUAAAUCAGAGUAUGCGGUGCAACAACAACAUCAACAACAACAUUCACCGUCCGGUAAAUGGCAGAAGAGUAGUCGAAAGAAUUAGCAGGCACAAUGAAAGACAAUCCGCUGCGCCCGAAAGCUCUCCGGUGCCGAGACUCAAACACAUAAAGAUACUCGUAUUUUCAAAUAGAUCACCAAAAGCCUGCUGCAACACCUCCUGGCCCCCCCGUGUCACUAAAAACACAAAAACGUGUUAAAUGCAGAAAUAUAAUUUACCGCCUCAAGAUCCCCAGCAAACCUCUACAUGUACACCUAUGAGACAUACACAUGUGACAUACCUGCAGAUAAAGACUCGCACUGACCCGCGCACUCACUGGCGUACGAGUUGGAGGUUUGCAGAGAUAAACGUUUAUCCGCAUCUAAAAUCUCUCCUCAGCCACACUGCAAAUUAAACUGGUGUCAAAUUACCCCUCCCGACAACAGAUAAUUAUGCUGCCACUGCCACCAGUAGCUCUUACCUGCUGGACAUAAACACGGCGCACAAAGAAUGACGUCACGUCCGAGACCCCAAAUGACACGCUACCUGGAUGUCAAUCACAUCCCCUUUUAUACAGGUGGAAUGUACCACUUAGCCAAAAAAAUGGUUGAUCACAUCACUACACUAAUAUGAUUUUGGAUAAGUAAAAGUGAGAAUAUGAAAUAAGAGCAGCACCCAAUGAGAUGCCAAAAAUUACAACAUUCACCUCUGUGUUCACUUAAAAGUGAU
ensembl:lncRNA